GACGAACGCUGGCGGCGUGCUUAACACAUGCAAGUCGAACGGUGAAGCGCCUUCCUUUUUGGUGGGUGUGGUUGAGUGGCGAACGGGUGAGUAACACGUGAGUAACCUGCCCCCUUCUUCUGGAUAACCGCACGAAAGCGUGGCUAAUACGGGAUAUUCUGGGUCUGUCGCAUGAUGGGUCUGGGUAAGCUGUUGUUUCGGUGGUGGCUGGUCUUCCGGCCUAUCAGCUUGUUGGUGCGGUGAGGGCCUUUCACGGCGGUGGCGGUUAGCCGGCCUGGGAGGGUGGACGGUCACACUGGGACUGAGACACAGCUCGGACUCCUACGGGAGCCAGCAGUGGGGGGGAGGGCGCAGUGGGCGAAAGCCUGAUACAGCGACGCCGCGGGAGGAAUGGAGGCCUUCGGGUUGUGAACCUCUUUCGCCAGUGAAGCAGGCCUGCCUCGUUUGUGGGUGGGUUGACGGUAGCGGGAUAAGAAGCGCCGGCUAACUACGUG
rnacentral:rRNA from 1 species